GCCGGGCGCAGUGGCUCACGCCUGUAAUCCCAGCACUUUGGGAGGCCGAGGCGGGUGGAUCACCUGAGGUCAGGAGUUCGAGACCAGCCUGACCAACAUGGAGAAACCUCGUCUCUACUAAAAAUACAAAAUUAGCUGGGCGUGGUGGUGCAUGCCUAUAAUUCCAGCUACUAAGGAGGCUGAGGCAGGAGAAUUGCUUGAGCCUGGGAGGCAGAGGUUGUGGUGAGCCGAGAUCGUGCCAUUGCACUCUAGCCUGGGCAACAAGAGUGAAACUCCGUCUCA
rnacentral:sRNA from 1 species